rnacentral:tmRNA from 1 species
GGGGGCGUAAAGGUUUCGACGGGGAUUUUGAAGCAUGAUAAGCGAGUAGAGUUGUGCAGACUCUUUAAACGGCACACGUUUUAAAAUUAGACGACAAAGAUAAUUUUGAAUUAGCAGCUGCUUAAUAGCUGCUCGUCUGCCCUUUGAUUACCACGGCUCAGGGUAAGGCGUCGAAUAGUGGUGAACGUCAGACGGUGACGGCUGUAACCGCUUGAUGUACUACGGUCUACUGAUUUCAAGGGCUUGUCUGUUUGCCUUUGUCUGAGGGAAAUGGUCUAACCACAAUAACAGAAUACACUCGUAGAAGUUCGUGGGGAUUGAUUUUCGGACAGGAGUUCGACUCUCCUCGCCUCCACCA